rnacentral:rRNA from 1 species
AACGCUGGCGGCAGGCCUAACACAUGCAAGUCGAACGGUAACAGGAAGAAGCUUGCUUCUUUGCUGACGAGUGGCGGACGGGUGAGUAAUGUCUGGGAAACUGCCUGAUGGAGGGGGAUAACUACUGGAAACGGGAGCUAAUACCGCAUAACGUCGCAAGACCAAAGAGGGGGACCUUCGGGCCUCUUGCCAUCGGAUGUGCCCAGAUGGGAUUAGCUAGUAGGUGGGGUAAAGGCUCACCUAGGCGACGAUCCCUAGCUGGUCUGAGAGGAUGACCAGCCACACUGGAACUGAGACACGGUCCAGACUCCUACGGGAGGCAGCAGUGGGGAAUAUUGCACAAUGGGCGCAAGCCUGAUGCAGCCAUGCCGCGUGUAUGAAGAAGGCCUUCGGGUUGUAAAGUACUUUCAGCGGGGAGGAAGGGAGUAAAGUUAAUACCUUUGCUCAUUGACGUUACCCGCAGAAGAAGCACCGGCUAACUCCGUGCCAGCAGCCGCGGUAAUACGGAGGGUGCAAGCGUUGAUCGGAAUUACUGGGCGUAAAGCGCACGCAGGCGGUUUGUUAAGUCAGAUGUGAAAUCCCCGGGCUCAACCUGGGAACUGCAUCUGAUACUGGCAAGCUUGAGUCUCGUAGAGGGGGGUAGAAUUCCAGGUGUAGCGGUGAAAUGCGUAGAGAUCUGGAGGAAUACCGGUGGCGAAGGCGGCCCCCUGGACGAAGACUGACGCUCAGGUGCGAAAGCGUGGGGAGCAAACAGGAUUAGAUACCCUGGUAGUCCACGCCGUAAACGAUGUCGACUUGGAGGUUGUGCCCUUGAGGCGUGGCUUCCGGAGCUAACGCGUUAAGUCGACCGCCUGGGGAGUACGGCCGCAAGGUUAAAACUCAAAUGAAUUGACGGGGGCCCGCACAAGCGGUGGAGCAUGUGGUUUAAUUCGAUGCAACGUGAAGAACCUUACCUGGUCUUGACAUCCACAGAACCUUGUAGAGAUACGAGGGUGCCUUCGGGAACUGUGAGACAGGUGCUGCAUGGCUGUCGUCAGCUCGUGUUGUGAAAUGUUGGGUUAAGUCCCGCAACGAGCGCAACCCUUAUCCUUUGUUGCCAGCGGUCCGGCCGGGAACUCAAAGGAGACUGCCAGUGAUAAACUGGAGGAAGGUGGGGAUGACGUCAAGUCAUCAUGGCCCUUACGACCAGGGCUACACACGUGCUACAAUGGCGCAUACAAAGAGAAGCGACCUCGCGAGAGCAAGCGGACCUCAUAAAGUGCGUCGUAGUCCGGAUUGGAGUCUGCAACUCGACUCCAUGAAGUCGGAAUCGCUAGUAAUCGUGGAUCAGAAUGCCACGGUGAAUACGUUCCCGGGCCUUGUACACACCGCCCGUCACACCAUGGGAGUGGGUUGCAAAAGAAGUAGGUAGCUUAACCUUCGGGAGGGCGCUUACCACUUUGUGAUUCAUGACUGGGGUGAAGU